AUGACUUGCGACAAUCAUGGAUUCCAGCAUUCUUUGUGGAGUUCUCUUGGUGGAAUAUUGCGCACAACAUCAAGAUCUGAGAGCGAGAAUGCAUUUUUCCGUCACUUCACUAAUCGAAGGCUUGCCUUAAUUGAAUUUUGGGUUAGAUUUGAAACGGCUUUGGAAGAGCUGCGGCAAAAAGAGCUGCAAGAGGACAAUUCUAGCAUACAUACCUUGCCAGUACUUAAGACUUGUUGGGGAAUUGAGACUCAUGGCAGAGAUGUGUAUACUCACAACAUUUUUGUUGCUUUCCAACAUGAGGUGGUGGCUGCUAGGGACCGUCGUCAUGUAAAAACUAUUGAGCAGGUUGGUGAUGUCCGAAUCACGAGCAUUGGUGACCUUAGCGGCAGGAUAAGAGUAGUCCGCUACAACACUAGUACGAAGGCUGCACAAUGUACUUGCCGAAUGUUUGAAUCAUUGGGCAUCCUGUGCUCUCACAUCAUUGUUGUUUUAAAGAAUGAUGGGUGUAAUGAAAUUCCUAGCCAAUAUGUGCUGCAUAGGUAG
rnacentral:rRNA from 1 species